GUCGAGAAUCUUUCACAAUGGGGGCAACCCUGAUGGAGCGACGCCGCGUGGAGGAUAAGGUCUUCGGAUUGUAAACUCCUGUCAUGCGUGAACAAGGUUGCUUGGAUAAUACCUGAGCAAAUUGAUGGUAGCGCAAGAGGAAGAGACGGCUAACUCUGUGCCAGCAGCCGCGGUAAUACAGAGGUCUCAAGCGUUGUUCGGAAUCACUGGGCGUAAAGGGUGCGUAGGUGGCGUGGCAAGUCAGAUGUGAAAGCCCGGGGCUCAACCUCGGAACUGCAUCCGGUACUGCCAUGCUAGAGUACUGGAGGGGUGAAUAGAAUUCUCGGUGUAGCAGUGAAAUGCGUAGAUAUCGAGAGGAAUACCAAAGGCGUAGGCAGGUCACUGGACAGUUACUGACACUGAGGCACGAAGGCCAGGGGAGCGAACGGGAUUAGAUACCCCUGUAGUCC
rnacentral:rRNA from 1 species